UCGAUCGACGGUGAUGGUCUGGUGUCGGUCGACGGUUGGUUGUACGUAUCGAUCGAUGACGAAGUGGUUGAGUCGAACGAUGUGGAACGUUGCCUCUACGGAUGGUGUGUUCCAAAUGAGCAGGAUCGUCUGAGAACAACAAGUCUUUCUCCUUGUUGCUUCUGGUACAGCUGGGCAUGCACCUGAAAAGACAAGAAAAAGAUUAUUAGAAAGGGGGUAAAGAAAAGAAUAAGAAGUAAUAAAACUAAAUCUAAUGACGAUCAAAGCUUCCCGACAACGGCGCCAAAUUUGAUACCACUCAAAUUACCCUAAGGAGUGUUAC
rnacentral:lncRNA from 1 species